rnacentral:rRNA from 1 species
AACGAACGCUGGCGGCAUGCCUAACACAUGCAAGUCGAACGAGACCUUCGGGUCUAGUGGCGCACGGGUGCGUACCGCGUGGGAACCUGCCCUUAGGUUCGGAAUAACUCCCCGAAAGGGGUGCUAAUACCGGAUAAUGUCUUCGGACCAAAGAUUUAUCGCCUUUGGAUGGGCCCGCGUUGGAUUAGCUAGUUGGUAGGGUAAAAGCCUACCAAGGCGACGAUCCAUAGCUGGUCUGAGAGGAUGAGCAGCCACACUGGGACUGAGACACGGCCCAGACUCCUACGGGAGGCAGCAGUGGGGAAUAUUGGACAAUGGGCGAAAGCCUGAUCCAGCAAUGCCGCGUGAGUGAUGAAGGCCUUAGGGUUGUAAAGCUCUUUUACCCGGGAUGAUAAUGACAGUACCGGGAGAAUAAGCGCCGGCUAACUCCGUG